UACGAAGGGUCCAAGCGUUAUCCGGAUUUAUUGGGCUUAAAGGGUGCGUAGGCGGCUUAUUAAGUCAGUGGUGAAAGACUUCAGCUUAACUGAAGAACUGCCAUUGAUACUGAUGAGCUUGAGUACAGUUGAGGUGGGCGGAAUGUGUCAUGUAGCGGUGAAAUGCUUAGAUAUGACACAGAACACCGAUUGCGAAGGCAGCUCGCUAAACUGUAACUGACGCUGAUGCACGAAAGCGUGGGGAGCAAACAGG
rnacentral:rRNA from 1 species